GAGAGAGAAGCCAAAUGAACAAUGCAAACUGCCAGUACAUCCGACACGCACGGUUUUCUUAGGCAAGGAAGACUCAGAGGGGCAUUUGCCGGUUCCUUCCUUGGUUGGUGGGAAGGAGAGACAGGGCCUUCUCAGUGGCGGCUCCUCAGCUCUGGAACUCCCUCCCCAAUGAGAGUAGAACAGCACCCUCCCUCCUGGCCUUCAGAAAGAAGACAAAGACAUGACUGUGGAAGCAAGCUUUUGGCCAGUAAAGUAAUGCAAUGCAAGAAAUAAAUAGGGAAUGUGUGCAAUUGACAAUUGGAACGGCCCUGGUCUAUUAUUUUGGAUCAUGUUAUUUUAAUGUUUAUAUUAUAUUAUAAUUCUUUUUAAUGUCUAAAUGUUGUUUUAUGUCAUGUUUAAUAGUCUUAUUGAUUUUAAUGCAUAGUUAUAUGUUUACUGUUUCAGAUAUAUGAUCUGGUUUUACACGUAUGUACUGCACUGAAUUUUGCCACUAUCGUGUUGUAAACAGCUUUGAUUCCCCUCAGGGGUGAGAAAAACAGUAUAUAAAUAUGGUAGAUAAAUAAAUAAAUAAAUAAUAAACAACCAGUAACUGAGCUUAAUUGCUGAUCUCCCGUCCAAGUACUAAACAGAGCAGACCUAACUGUCACUUACAAGACCAGACGGGAUGUAGUACCUUUAGUGUCUUUAGAACCCUUAACCAAUGUUUUUUCCCCAACAGUAAUCCCUCCCUAUUUGCAAGUUCUGCAUCCACGGCUCAAAAAUAUUGUUUGUGUGUGUUGGGGGGGAAAUACCUCUGGAUUUUGCUGCAUGCCAGUGGUUAUCUCCUUCCAUUUUGCAGAUCCUCGGGCUCUCUCUGGCACUGGGUUGAGUGUUUUGCCAUUUUCAUAGAAUCAUAGAAUCAUAGAAUAGUAGAGUUGGAAGAGACCACAUGGGCCAUCCAGUCCAACCCCCUGCUAAGAAGCAGGAAAUCGCUUUCAAAGCACCCCCAACAGAUGGCCAUCCAGCCUCUGCUUAAAAGCCUCCAAAGAAGGAGCCUCCACCACGGCCCCGGGGAGAGAGUUCCACUGUCGAACAGCUCUCACAGUGAGGAAGUUCUUCCUGAUGUUCAGGUGGAAUCUCCUUUGGAAUUUUAUACUAUAAGGCUACUUGACAAUCCACAGAUGUUGGUGCCCCCAAAGGUCCUGGAAUAUAUGGAGGGCUUACUGCACUAGAAAGAGAAAAAAGGAACAAACCAUUCACUGCUUGGGGUGGUAGGAGAGAUUACAUGGGUCCCAAAGUGCCAACACCCUGUUCAAUAUUGUCCCCGUUGACGCUAUUCCAACCCUCCCUAGACAUGCUAAAGAUUGAACCCUUCUGGCAUGCAGCCCAUGCAUUGGGGACCUCAGGGAAUGCUCUUGAUGGAUCUUUUCCCUUCUAGUUAUGCUACUGUUGGGAACACAACAAUUGAUAACACAUUGUUUGGAAAUUGUACGUUUUGUUUUGGCAUGCAGUUCUAAGAAUUACCAAACCAGCAUGGAUCCUGGGAAGACUAGUCCCAAAAUAGUAAUAUUUCCAAAACCCUGGAUAAAGUGACUGCUUAGCUGAGUCCAGCGGUGGCCUUCUUCUUUCAGCCUCAGCUUUUAGAGUCCUGGGGUUUUAAACAAUAUUUUCCCUUUCCACUUCUGCAAGCUCAUCUCAGGGAGGUGCCGCAGAGCUUCCACUGAGCUUGUCAAAGAGACACAUCAGAGAAAGGUCAGAUUAGCAGGAGCCAAAAGCCCUUCUUCUCCUGUUUUUAGUCUGGCUCUGUUACUAUGUGCCCUCCCAAGAUAAUUUUUGAUUCAUCCAUCUCUACCCUGCCCUUCAUAUAAAUGUUCAUCAUGGGGCUAUCAGCGGAAAGAUUAAAUGAGCAAGGACCCGUACAUUGUAGGUAAAUUAAGACUGUGCAAAUAAGUCUGGAAGAGCUGUGGCAAAACAAUUAGGUAAAGCUUCAUGGCAGCAUAUUUGGUGUGUCAUCUAAGGACAGCAAACUCUUUUAUUGAUGUAUUCACUCUGGUAUUACUGCCAGGGAUGGAUAGAGAUACUGGGGGGGGGGGUGAUUUUGUGAGCCAAAACAACUUGGCUGGCUUUCAGGCCCCUCACAUCUUGACUUGCAUGCUCUGACAGAAGAAUGGCAACACUCUAGACUACAGUUUCUAUCAUUCCCAAUAAUUAUGGUUGGCUGGAAUGGUGGAUAGAGGUUUUGACAAAGCAACAAGCUUCUUUGAGAUCUUCCCCAUUCCAGUCGCCCAUCUCUGCCAAAGUGCUGGAAAUGUUGUAUCUAUGCAAUGUUGCUGUGAUAUGGAGUUCCUAUACCCAUUAUUGAUGCUGUAUUGUCAAUCAGUUGACAAUAGAUCCUCUCACGUAGCUCUGUGAUGCUUUCUAAAAAACUGUGAACAAACUUUAGGUUGGGUUGCCUUGGGCGAGAAGACCUGAGAGAGAUGAAGUUCAGGGUUCAAUGUGAUGGGAAACCCACCGAAAAAGAAAAAUGAGAGAGUUCACAAGAGGCCUGUGAAAUUGCUAUUCAUCUGACCUACCUCUGCAUUGACCUACCUAACAAGACAAGUACGGGUGACUGAGAUCAUGUUUUUCAGAGGUAGGAAACACACCAUUCACCAGUUGUGGGAGGACUACAAUCCCCAGCAUUCUUUCCCAUCGGUUGUGUUGGGUAGUGGUUCUGGGAUCUGCAAGUCAACAACAACUAGAAGGUUUUGUGGUUCCUCCACUCCUGAUGUAUAUGGCAUGCUUUAUCGAUGCAGCCUCUUACUACUAGGUCUCACUGGGAGCGAUGAAAAUAAGACAUCUAUCAUCACAAUAAAA
rnacentral:lncRNA from 1 species